rnacentral:rRNA from 1 species
CACAAGCGGUGGAGUAUGUGGUUAAUUCGAUGCAACGCGAAGAACCUUACCUGGUCUUGACAUCCCGGAGACCCUUAGGAAACUAGGGGGUGCUUCCAUCUGGAAGAAUCUGGAGACAGGUGCUGCAUGGCUGUCGUCAGCUCGUGUCGUGAGAUGUUGGGUUAAGUCCCGCAACGAGCGCAACCCUUGCCUUUAGUUGCCAGCAGUUCGGCUGGGCACUCUAAAGGGACUGCCGGUGUUAAACCGGAGGAAGGUGGGGAUGACGUCAAGUCCUCAUGGCCUUUAUGACCAGGGCUACACACGUACUACAAUGGCCGAUACAAAGGGCAGCGACACUGCGAGGUGAAGCCAAUCCCGUAAAAUCGGUCUCAGUCCGGAUUGGGGUCUGCAACUCGACUCCAUGAAGUUGGAAUCGCUAGUAAUCGUGGAUCAGCCAAGCUGCGGUGAAUACGUUCCCGGGCCUU